UCAGUUGGUUUUCCAUCUGAAUAUUUUUGAUAUUUUCUUAGCAGCUCAUCUAACAUCAGACACUGGGUCUAAAAAUCACUGAGAUCAAACUUGAGUUGUUGCUCAUUUUCAACGGGUUUUGUAUUUGAUUAACAUUAAAAACCCUCUGGCCAUAGACCUCAAAUAAAUACCCCCUGCUGAUAUUAGCAGUAAAUGCAUAUAAUUUUAAUCAAGAUAAAAGUUAUUCUUGGGGAAGCUGGACAUUGAACACUGCAUCAACUGCUCAUAGUACUGCAUCUUUGGGCCCUUAAGCUUUCCUCAUUUUUUGCACGUUGCAGCACCAGCCUCUUCCUUACACUCUGUUGAGCACCAUGGGCACAAACUUUCCCUUACUGUCAGAGCAGGACCCCGCUGCCUUGCUGGUGGUGUGGUGCUCUGGUAUCCAAAGGGCUGUAUUGGCCAGGAGUCCAACCAUGUGAACACUUCGGGUUUUCUGUCAAUCUCUCCAAGAACAGGUGCCCAUCAUUUCAGUUUUCAAAACACCACUGCAUUCACCUGUUUAAUUCUGCACACCCAAUUUGUCUCUAGUUGCUUGCUUUCACUUAUACAUGUCUACUUCCUUCCUCCUGUUCUGUAUUCCCAGGUUUUGAAGGGCUCUGAUGGAAGUCAGUAUUGCAUCUCUGAGUAACAGAAACUUCUCCUUUUAAUCUGUGCCACCAGUUUCCUUGUGAUUUUGCUUUUGGAUGUUGUGUUGAGGGACGUGGUUUAGCGAGAACCAUUGGUGAUGGGCGAAUGGUUGGACUGGAUGAUCCUGUGGGUCUUUUCCAGCCUUAGUGAUUCUAUGAUUCUAUGAUUUCCAUCACAGACACGUAACACUUGCAUCUGUUCACUUCUGCAUGGAAUUGUUGUAUUUAUAAAACAGUCCAUGCAAAGCUACACACGCUUUGACUGCAGUGCCCCACUUCUAUGGACUGCCUCUAUCUCUACAAAGCAGUUUGUAUAUCACCCAGCCAUUUCUCUGAUGGUAAAUUCACAGUCAUUUCAUUUCUUGUAACUUCUUUCUCCCUCCUCACCCUCACCCCUGCCUCACGAGCUCAUUUUUGGUUUAAAUCAAUGGCUUUUUUU
rnacentral:lncRNA from 1 species